ACCUAAUUUUAAAACCUCCCGUCUCCAAAGCAGGAAGGAUACACCUGAAACUAACACUACUGGGCUAAGACAGGGUGAAAAGGAGAGGAGGAUGAGAUGGGGAGGGGGGAUGAGGAAGGACAAUACUUCUCUGGGAGUACUUUUAGGUACCACUUUGACUCUUAGAACCAGAGCGAUAGUCCACAUACGCCAAAUUAAAUAAAUAACUCUAGUCAACUAGGAUUGCAAGGAGGGGGGGGCAGGUGGGGUGAAAAACACAAACAAAACAAAUUAACCGGACUACAUUAUAAGUGAGUAACGUAACUGCAUUGAAAGGGUGGGGGAUGAAAGAAUUAAACUGAAGAACGUUGGAAAAUAGUAUUUUGACUGGAUGCUGUAAGGCUGAAGACAAAAAGAACUAUGCACAUAGUUUUCUAAGUAUUCAAUCUGUUUAUCAUAGGGACAUGU